GCGUGUAAGUAAAUUAACCCUCGCAGGAUUGCGAGUGUAUUAUAAAUUUACCCUCGCAGAAUCGCGAGUGUACACUUUCCGUACUCACUAUGAGUACGUGUAUCUCUUUAAAAAUAAUCCCGCACCGUGUUCAGGCAAGUGUGUAUUCGUCUCGGACUCAGGGCUGGCUCCGGCAUUGUUCUGAGUGAAGCCACAUGCAUGCACUCUGUGGACCGCCUGUUGUGUUUGUUGCUGCCCCUUAAUAAUUUUCCUCAACUGGUAUCCGAACCUUUAUUUAAGUCACUUUGGAGUGUUAAAACCCUAUUUCUCACCGGUUUAAUAAAAGUUGUUUUGGACCCUGUUGUCCCUUAAACUAACCUUGGGGUACCUCCGUGACACAUGUAUUUUCAGAUAACUAAAUUUGGUAUUAAACAUUAAAAUAUCCAUGUGUGGAAUAUUGAAAAUAACCUGGUCAGACAGUAUUGGACUCUGAAAUGAGUGCAGGCUGAGGUAAACAGACAUCACAGUUUGAGAUAAGUUGUAUUGUUAUAACUGGUCCCACUGAGAAAGCCUCACAUUUCUCACAUUUAUGUUCUUUUUCUUCUUAGAUUCUCCUGUUUCACGUAGUACUUGCUGGAUUAUUGCAGUGAUUCUAGGGAUGCUCUUCUUGGCACUGCUGGGAACAACAGUGAGAAGUAUACAUAUAAGUCCCUGAGAGGCUGUGCAGAGGAACGGAUGGCACUGGAAAGCUGUCUUCUCCCUGGACACUCUGGGAUGGUGGUGUUCUCCCAGAUCUCCGCUGUCUAACCCAACGUAAAGGAAAGGCUGCCCCGACCUGAGGUGCUUCCCUGGAACUGAAACCCCAGGUUCUCUCUCCUAAACUCCAUUCUAUUUUAUUUUAACAUUACUACAUCUUGCAAUAAUCUUAAUACAAGGUUAACAUAAGACUAUUUGUUUGGCCAGCAGGUCGAGGGAGGUGAUUCUGCCCCUCUACUCUGCUCUGAUGAGACCCCAUCUGGAGCCCUGCAACCAGCUCUGGAGUCCUCAGUAGAGGAAAGACAUGGACUUGUUGGAGAGGGGCCAGAGGAGGGUCACAAAGAUGAUCAAAGGGCUGGAACAGCUCUUCUAUGAGAACAGACUGAGAGAGUUGGGGUUGUUCAGUCUGGAGAAGAGAAGGCUCCAGGGAGAUCUUAUUGCAGCCUUCCAGUAGUUAAAAGGGGCCUGUAAGAAAGAGGAGGACAGAUAUUUUAGCAGGAUCUCUUACAACAGGACAAGAGGUAAUAGUUUCAAAUUAAAAGAGGGGAGAUUCAGGCUAAAUAUGAGGAAGACAUUUUUUUACAAUGAGAGUGGUGAAACACUCGCCCAGGUUGCCCAGAGAGGUGGUAGAAGGCCCAUGCCUGGAAAUAUUCAAUGCCAGGUUGGACAGAGCUCUGAGCAACCUGAUCUAGUUGAAUAUGUUCAUUGCAGGGGCCUUGGACUAGAUGAACUUUAAAGGUCCCUUCCAACCCAAACUAUUGUAUGAUUCUACGAUUACAUGAUUCUAUGACUGCGUAAUUUAUUCUAAGAUACCUUCUGCAUUCAGCUGCCAUCCAUAGUUUAAUAGGAAAGCAAAUAAUUUUCCAAGAAAUUCUGACAAAAUCCAUUUAGGUACAUAUUCAACUAAUUUUCUUCAGGAUUCAGACAUUUCUAGCCCAUCUCAAAGAUCAUAAGGCUAGAAGGUUAAAUAAAACAUGAGUAGAUUUCUGUAUUUCGAAGGGAUAUUUGUUUGAAAAAACAAAUUCUUGUUUCAGGAUGCCUGGAGUUCUUCUUAGACAGGGUCUAUAUUACCAUGGAGUGACAGUAAGUCUAAAAAUCUUUCCAAUGUCUUUCUCUGUCCCAAACCUACGUAGACCAAUGCUGUACAAUGUGUGGCCUUGCUAGUGGUAUGCUGAACGACCAUGGAUUACAAGAGGAGAUGGUAGACAGAUGACAGAGAUGCGAGGACAAGAAAGACUGCCUUGCUACCUCAUCCCUGCUGCAGCCUGCUCCACCAAGGGAGUCGCACUGAGCAGAGGGGAGGUGGCACCUUCCCCAGAGCUGGCUGGACGUGCUCAGCUUCCAGAAGGUGAGAUGAGGCAGGCAGUGGGUCACACAGCAAAGGAGGCCCAGGACACCAGAGCAGAGGAAGGUGAUAUGCUCUGGGUGCAGACUCCUAGCACAGCCUCAUGUCUUCUGGGGGCUGAGGGUGCUUACUGCAGGGAAUCAGUGAAAAAAAUGCAGAACUGGACCAGGGAAGGAUCAUCUUGCCAGGGUAGUGCACUCAGAGGAGAUUUCACCCACCGGGUGAAAUCUGAGUUUCUUUUGUUUUCAAGGUUAUCCUUGUUUGUUAUUUUGUGCUUUUACAAAGCCUGCUUUGGGAGGUGGGUGCCUUUGGGCAUGGUCCCUUCCAAAAGGAAGGAGGAAUGUUCUGUCUCAAGGCUUGGGCAAAGGCUUUUAUAACAGUAUUUUCAGUAGUCAGGACUAUGUUACUGAUAUAGCCCUUGUUCUUCUCCUUGUCUCCCCUCUGCCUACCCAAGCUACCAGUACAGUGGCCAUGAGUUCUUAAGCUAAGUCUCACCCUCUUUGCCUGUUAACCACCAUUUCCAGGGCCAUGAAGCAGUACUGAGAUGUAUUCAUGUCUGACAGUGCAAACUACAGCAGCAACUACAGUUCUUGGGCUUUCUCUUAGGAGUAUAUUGAGUGCAUCAGCCUUACUUUUUGUCUGUUGUAUAUAAACUUCUAUGAUGGAGCAGAGCCUGGUAUGGCUCACCUAUUUGCCCUUUCCAUGCUGAAUCCCUACAAACUCCAAGAGUACCCAGAGAAGAAAAUGAGGGACCACUUAUUUAUGUGCCAUUUAUAGUAAGAUUAGAAAAGUUAACAAUAAAAGAUGUCUUCCAAUUUCAGAUUUCAAGUGCAACAGGAUGGCAUAGGACGCUAGGCUACUUUCAGAACAGAUGACCUCUAUUCAUUUGGCUACAUAUAAGGACUAGAUCAUAUUUGUGAACAAAGGGCUUUCUAAAGCAAACCCCUCAUCAAUAAGGUAGAGAAAAUCACACUACUAAGAAUAAUACUGAAGGUUGUGACAUACCAGAUAAAAAAAAUUUACAGUAGUGCUAGACCUCUGCCUUGCAAAAUACUAAUCUUGAUUGCCUUAGAAGGAUUUAAAAUUUUUUAGCAGCCAUCACAGCAAUUCUCUGAGAUUUUUUUGUGACUUACAAUAAAGAAUAAACACCAGUUUCAGCCCUACACCACAUGCUACAAGUCACACUCCAAUCAGAGAACUUGUCUGUGACCCUGCUUAUUGUAUGGGUACGAAAGGAGUUUAUUUUAAAAGUGUAAUCAGUUCAGAAGCAUUAAUACAUACUUCGGAAAUGUUAGUCCUUUAUGUUCAUUAGUUUCCUUUAACAGCUAUUUACUUUGAGUUACAAAGCAUAUGAAAAGAAAAGCAGAGGUGCUUCAAAUACCUUUUGAUAAAUAUUAUUGUUUUCCAUAUUUCUUUCUAGCAGAAUGUAAAGAAAAUCAGGCAGGAUUCAUGGCACGUAAAGUCUUCUCGUCUGUUUUUUCAGACUCCGAGGAGCACUCUCCUGUUUAAUAUGUAUGAUAGUACGUAAUGAAUACACCAGUCUUUCCUUGCCACACGAAAUUUGUGCCUUGUUCUCCCUGUAGUGCCUGAGGAAUGAAAGGAAUGGGUUUGCUUUGCCUUUGCAGAUUGUAACACUUGUGACUUUUCCAUAAUCAGCUUUUAGAUCCAUAAAUUAUAUUGACAGCACUGGAAGGGUGGGAUAGUAUUUGGGCUCUGAAAUGAAAACCAGUGUUUACACAUUCUGACACAAAAAUAAAUAUUUUAGCACAGCCUUCUCUUAAGGAACUGUGCAUUGCUGAGCUACUCCACUGGUUGUCAGAGAGAUGGGGACAGGGAAGGAGCAUGUCUGCACCGAGAAAAAGUAUUUUGACCCUUAGUCCCCAGUGGUUCAGGGAGCAUAGAGAUCAAAAUGCAUUUUAAGAAGGCAGCAGUGUGAGAAAGAUGUGUUCCUAGCCCAGGAGAGGGUGGGUCACAAAAGAGAAUUUAUACAAAUUUAGUUCAUGUUUUCUAAAGCAGUCACAUGUGAGCUAUUGUUACAAGAAUCAGGCUGCCACAGACAUCACGUACUUGCUCGUCAUUUGUAAUUUUGCAAGACUGACAUCUAAACUCGGAUACUUUUGUCAAUACCCAUUCAAGCAUUAUGCCAUCUGACAGUCCCUCCUAAUAACUGACUUGGUGGAAACCUUGUUGUCUUUCUGUUCUAUGCUGCCUGCAGUGUGAUAAAUUCAGCCUAAAAGUGGCUCAAUUUUUCUUAUGGUAUAUGAUGCAAUUUGAAGCAGUCCUGCUGUGUACAUAGUGUCAGAGGCGAGGGGGAAACCUUGAGAGAGAUUUUAAAAGUUCAGAUGAUCCAAUUCUUUUUAAAGAAUUUGUAUCUGUAGUCUAUUUUGCUUAAUAAUAUUAAUCACAAAAGCAGAAAUUAUUUUUUCACUGUGAUGUGACUUCUUUGGACCAUCUAUGAUAGUUAAUGCUGUGCAGACAUCCACUGAAGGGGGAGUUGCUUGGAAAUGUAGGGGAGGAUGCUCUCAGGAGCUUUUAACAACUGUCUGUUAAUAAUUUGACAUAGUUUUCAGGGAACAAGGUUUUGAGGGCUGUGAACACUCUGACAUAAUGACAUAUGUCAGACCCAGCCAAGCAUCUCGUAUCUGCUUUGAUGGCCAAUAAGACCUGUCAUGAAACAUCAGUUCAAUCAGAACAUGUUUUUUCCAUCUAGUUCCCAGCUUCCUUUCUAAAUCUUGCAUAAUUUCACAGCUGGGUCAACUGACAGUACAAAAGCAAAGAAGCAGCAACCUUGCUUCAUAUUCUUUCAAGCUGGCUGUCCUCAGGAGGGAUCUACCCAGCCUGACAUAGAUGAUGAUGACUGAAAUGGGAAGUGAAGAAUGGUGGCACCAUUCAUAGGCUGAAUCAUUCAUAAUGGAGACCCACAGACAACAACCAUAAAGCUCUCUUGGGUUCAUUUUGACUCCCACCAAGAAAGGGAGGACUUUUUUCACUGAACUUUGGAGAAGAACAGGUUUUCUGACUGGAAAUAAAGCAUUUUGGGUAUUGGAUGGGCAAAAUACCCAUUUAUUCCAUUACUCAUGGUUCUGGUUUGGGGUGGAACUUUCAACUUGAUUAUAAUCUGAGAAAUUCUAAGAGUAGUUGUUAUUUUAUUCAGCUAUUUUGGAAAGAAGAAAAUAUCAUGUGCGUAAAAUAACCCUGGCUUAUCAGCCUCCUACAGGAACAGAUGUGUAUGAGCACCAUUCUGCCAGACCUGGCAGUUCUUAGCACUUUGAACUGCUAAAACAUACUUAGCAACAGUAAUUAACUAACAGUGAGUAAUUUAUUUGAAAUAAACUUCCAAUUAAACAUAAUAUUUCUGCAGA